GUGUCAGCCGCCGCGGUAAUACAGAGGGUGCGAGCGUUGUUCGGAAUUACUGGGCGUAAAGCGCGCGCAGGCGGCCCUUUAAGUCUACCCGUGAAAUGCCGGAGCUCAACUCCGUGCACGCCGGGGGAUACUGGGGGGCUGGAGACAUGUAGAGGCAAGCGGAAUUCCGGGUGUAGCGGUGGAAUGCGUAGAUAUCCGGAAGAACACCUGAGGCGAAGGCGGCUUGCUGGGCAUGAUCUGACGCUGAGGCGCGAAAGCGUGGGGAGCAAACAGGAUUAGAUACCCCCGUAGUCC
rnacentral:rRNA from 1 species